rnacentral:lncRNA from 1 species
CUUCAGAUUUCAAGGAAUGAAUCAUUGUUCUUAGCUUUGUUGCAUACACACACUUCUUGGAUUUCGUUGUGCAGUAUUGAUGUGAGAUAAAACUCAACAUUGAAUAACCUUUCAGUGGUACUUUUCAAAGUCUUCCCCUCCUCUGCCUCAUAAUUAAGGGAAAAGACAAAAUUGAAAGACACACUGUCUUUAUCUAUCCUGGUGUAUGUUGGCACCUUAGCUACUUUUUUUUUUUUUCCUUUUUGCACAAGGUGCUUUCCUGAUAUGUUAAACAUGCCAUCUUUGGGUGAUAAUGUAUAUGCCAUGGUGGGGCCUAGGCCCCUCAGGGGAGUGUCUAUAAGAACUGCCUAUU